GAUAUCUGUGCCUCACAGUUCUUUUAUCGUCGUCGCUCGUUAUCGUAGAUUGUUUGUUUAUCUCAAUUUACUUAUAUCUACAGGCAGUGAAGUUAAUCGAUGAAACUAUUAAAAAAAGUAAUCAUUGCACCUUGAUUAAAAAGAACAACAUCUUGCUGUCAGUUUACUUGUUUGUCGUUCCGACAAAAGAAACAAUUCGUUAUCAAUUUUAAUAUCCCAAAGCAGCUGUGAGAGUUGAGUGAUAGGAAAGUGAUCUCCAUUUAAUGUCUAACAACAUUUCAAUAUGACGAUUCAAUCAAGAUAUCUCCCUUGACUAAUAAAUCAGGAGGCCUAUACACAGUGAUUACAUGGCACUGUCGCUCGAUCUCAGUGCAAGUUCACAUUGAACAUACAUACUGUU